rnacentral:miRNA from 1 species
UAACAACAGCGGAAGAACCUUCUU